AAUGGGCGAAAGCCUGACGCAGCGAUGCCGCGUGUACGAUGAAGGCCCUUGGGUCGUAAAGUACUGUCAACUGAGACGAAGCAUCCAGUUUAAGAGAUGGGGUGUGUGACGGUAUCAGUGGAGGAAGCGCCGGCUAACUCUGUGCCAGCAGCCGCGGCAAUACAGAGGGCGCAAACGUUGCUCGGAAUGACUGGGCGUAAAGAGCGUGUAGGCGGCGGGUUAAGUCGACUGUGAAAGCCCAUGGCUCAACCAUGGAAGUGCAGUCGAAACUGGCUCGCUUGAGUCCCGGAGAGGGUGGUAGAAUUCCUAGUGUAGAGGUGAAAUUCGUAGAUAUUAGGAGGAAUACCGGUGGCGAAGGCGACCACCUGGACGGGUACUGACGCUGAGACGCGAAAGCGUGGGGAGCAAACAGGAUU
rnacentral:rRNA from 1 species